AGAUGCUACAGACACUGGAGUGUCUUUAAAUCAGACAGCAGUAGCAGCAGCAGCAGGCUGAUAGGGAAGAAGGAGAAAGCUGCUGUUUAAGCAUAGACAAUGUGGUAAUCGCUAAUCAUCAAUAAUGGGAAGGUUAAAUAAAAGGGUGGUUUCCAGUGAUGAAGACAAUUAAGAGCACAGAAUGUAAUGAAACUUGAUAGCAUCUCCACAAUCUUCCUCCUUAUGAACUUGCACAGCCACAUGUGUCAGCAUUCACUGAUUAAAGAAGCAAUUAAUCUGAACAAGGAGAACGUGAAACUGUUACUUAAAUACACCAACAGAUUGUAA